rnacentral:rRNA from 1 species
AGAGUUUGAUCCUGGCUCAGAUUGAACGCUGGCGGCAGGCCUAACACAUGCAAGUCGAGCGGAUGAUGGGAGCUUGCUCCCGGAUUCAGCGGCGGACGGGUGAGUAAUGCCUAGGAAUCUGCCUGGUAGUGGGGGACAACGUUUCGAAAGGAACGCUAAUACCGCAUACGUCCUACGGGAGAAAGCAGGGGACCUUCGGGCCUUGCGCUAUCAGAUGAGCCUAGGUCGGAUCAGCUAGUUGGUGGGGUAAAGGCCUACCAAGGCGACGAUCCGUAACUGGUCUGAGAGGAUGAUCAGUCACACUGGAACUGAGACACGGUCCAGACUCCUACGGGAGGCAGCAGUGGGGAAUAUUGGACAAUGGGCGAAAGCCUGAUCCAGCCAUGCCGCGUGUGUGAAGAAGGUCUUCGGAUUGUAAAGCACUUUAAGUUGGGAGGAAGGGCAGUAAGUUAAUACCUUGCUGUUUUGACGUUACCAACAGAAUAAGCACCGGCUAACUUCGUGCCAGCAGCCGCGGUAAUACGAAGGGUGNCAGCGUUAAUCGGAAUUACUGGGCGUAAAGCGCGCGUAGGUGGUUUGGUAAGAUGGAUGUGAAAUCCCCGGGCUCAACCUGGGAACUGCAUCCAUAACUGCCUGACU